UUACCACCGCAGAGCAAUGUCACCAAGAGCCCAAGACAAGACACAAAGAGGAUCCAAACCUGCCUGAUAUUCAUGCACCCCUAUAUCAUCUUAGCCCGCAAUAGCUGGAUCCAGACUUUUGCUGAACUGCUCCUCAAAUGGUUUCGGAGAGCAUGUCUGAAAACCCUGGAACAAUAUGAGGUCUUUUUAUUUGGUGUAUCAGAGAAAAGGAGAUACAGCAGAACAUUGCUACUACUGAAUGACAUCUCACUGCAAAGUAAUUGCUGUUAUUCCUUUCUGUGGCCCAUGAUCUAUGAUUCUACUGUCCUUCAUUUUCAAUAA
rnacentral:lncRNA from 1 species